rnacentral:rRNA from 1 species
UACAGGGGGGGCAAGCGUUGUUCGGAAUUACUGGGCGUAAAGGGCUCGUAGGUGGCCAACUAAGUCAGACGUGAAAUCCCUCAGCUUAACUGGGGAACUGCGUCUGAUACUGGAUGGCUUGAGUUUGGGAGAGGGAUGCGGAAUUCCAGGUGUAGCGGUGAAAUGCGUAGAUAUCCGGAGGAACACCGGUGGCGAAGGCAGGUCUCUGGGCCACUACUGACGCUGAGAAGCGAAAGCAUGGGGAGCGAACAGG